UAAAGUUAUUAUUAAUAUAUUAAUAUAUUAAAUAUUUUAAAAGGCACAUAUAUAUGUAGCGUACUUACACAUCGUACAAUCGGCCUUCUUUUUACUACUCCUUGUAAUAAUAAUCAUUGUUUUGACUUCUUAUCACUAACGCUCGACCAAGCGCCUGUGUUUUGCGCCCCGAUAGAACACGCGGUAUCGCGCGCCCCGCGGAGGUGGCAACUCGCUAAUUGGCAAAUUAAUAUUAAAUUGUAAUUAGUCUCGUUAACCCCGCUGGGCGCUCGUUUCGUGCCGCUUUCUGGUUGGUCCAAACUCUCGUGGCUUAUUCCGCGCGCGCGUUCUCACAGAGGGAGAAAGUGAGGGAGAUUUGCGAAAUCAAAAUCCGAAAUCUCGAGAUAUAAGACAAUAAUAUCAAAAUUUUAUAGAAGAAUGAAGAUUUUUGCACGACUAAUGCUACGAAAGUGAUUUUUUUACGCACGCGCGUGGAUCUAACGUUUGCAAAUUUUUUAACAAUUUCUAGUUCUCUUAAAAGGAUUUAUAAUAAACUAUAUAAUUUCUAUAAAGUCUUUACAAGAUUUCCUAUAAAACUAAUUCCCACCGAAAUACAAUUUUUCUAACAAAAUUUUUACGUCGAGAAAUUUGCCCUCUGUAUCUUUUACACGUAUAAUCUUUAAUAGUUUCGAUUAUCCUGUGAUUAUAUACGAUAUCGAUGUGUUACACCGAAAUGGUAAUAUAAAUUUGUACGGUCCCUAGUGACGAUGUAAAAUUCAUUUAAUCGCGCAGCUGAAUUUAUCAUCUCGCGGCGCUGUACCUCUGAGGUAUUGGACUAUCCGUCGAGAAUAUCCUGGAUUUUUGAUCGUGACUUCUCUCGGAGUUUAUGCCCCCCUGAAUAUACGAGAAAAAUCAAAAACUCGCGUGGAUCUCGUAAAGAAGAAUAUUACAUUUACUUCGGUAACGCCGGCCGACUUUCAACUUCGGUAUCACUUGUUGCUCUAUUUGCUACUCCGUGUGUAAAGAGGAUUACUGAUGUGCACGGUAUACAGCAUGUCCCAAAACUACUUGAUGUCUCAAGAUUUCUUUUUCGUGCCUUUUCAAUUUGCAUAUCUUCGCGCGUAAGCUUUGAAUUAAAAUUCUGUAAAACUACUUGACGCGAGAGUAAUCAAACUACGAACCUGUUACAUCUAAGUUUACUUCGUUAGAAGCUGUUUGUUUUUAAUAACGGAAUCGUCUAAAAAUUAGAAACGUCUUUUAUUACAAUCAAUACUCUCAAGCCGCGCUUAAAGGAUUUUUAAAGCUCUUUCUACUAGCGAGAAAGUCUUCCGGUAAUUUUGGAGCAUUCUGCACAUGUCGAUUCUGCAGAAUAAAAUCGUUAUAAAGUCGUAUCGAUUGAACGUGCUGGCUCGAGACCGAAGAGAAAGAGAAUCCGAAAUCUUUUCCAUGUGCGUUUCGGCCAACCAGAAGAUAUCGCGCAAAUUUUUUUUCUCUUUAGAUAGCCAUUUUAAUGAUUAUGUCUCCUGUUCCCCCUAUCACCUCUGACGCUUUUUAAGUGGUUUAAAACAGUCGGCGAAUUUGUUGUAGCGCAUGCAUCUUAGCUAGACCACCUCUGGCGCACUCUAACCGGCAAGUAAGAGUAUAUCUCAACGUAUUUAAUUGACACUCCUUCCUCCACCGUUUCCCGUUAGUCCCCGCGUUAAAAUAACGCAGUUAACACUUGCUCGUCUUAAUUUCCCGCAAAAUUGAUAUCGAUUAAGAGAAAGAAUCGUCCCGAGGAACGAUAUAGCUGCGGGGAGACAUUGUCAAUUGUUCAUGUUCAUUUCGAUCUUGCAAGCUGUCGAUAGCAGAAGAAGAGCUAAUAAAAGUCGCUAUGACGCGCAGUCGGUGCGUUAACAUUUAAAUUAAUACAUAUAUGCGAUUAUUCCUGCAUGAUCGCAAAAAUGGAUGAAAUCCUACAAUUGUGUGCGAUCAAGAGUAAAGCGCUAAUGAAACUUCAACGGAAAAUAAAUUGAGCAAAUAACUGAAUACACAACAAUAACCACAGAAUUGAAAUUUUAGAUGAAAUCGAGUGAACAUUAAUAAAAAACCCACUUCCGUUGUAAAAAUAACGUAAUGCAAUUGCACAAUUCCAUUGCUUUUAAUUUUAUACAUUUGACAUAAGCGCGUAGAAAAAUAUAGCGACAAUUCGAUUUACGCCGGCAGCUAUACGCGUUCCUCUCCCCCGUUCCAGUUUUUUUUUUUUUUUCGUUACCUCUUCUUUUCCCUUUCCUCUAUUUUCUCCCCUAAACGCAUAUCCAAUUUCCUCCCUUAACGAGAACAGAUAGUACAUAUCCACAGCCGGACGACAUAGCGCGUACAGUUUUGCUACUUUAUAUCGAAGUAGAUGUGUGUUCUACUAGCUUUUGGAGGCGCGUAGGCGUAUAUUUCGUCGUGUGAAAGCGAAACCACACCUUCUGUCCCAUCCCGGAAAGUCACCGACUCCUACCUACCUACGCUCGAUAAUCGAUCAGAAAAGCGUCUUUAACGAUGAGCGCCUUAUUCUCUUCCUCGCAACAUUCGACGUAGCACUUGAUUUAUUUUUGUUAGCCACACUUCAAUGUAUAAAUUCCGAUGAAAAUUUGUUUUUACUUCUCGCAUCUCUCGGAUACUACUACUUAUUUUUACGUCCAAUUUUCAGUAAAGCGCCUAUCGCGCCAGCGAGAGGAAUAAGACCCGCGAGGCAGAGACUUUUUCUUUUUCACGCGGUAAGAAACACGGCCGUUGGAAGCUACAAUUGCAAUCUUUAUUUUAACAGCGAAAUCGAGAAGAGCGGCGGAUAUAAAUGAUUCAUAUCCGACGAGAGGAUGAUGAAUCCGCCCAUCGGUAAAACGCACUUGGCCGAUACGAGCGUGUCGGCUCCAUCGUAGCACGGAGAAAGAAACUUCCAAGUCCCGAGUAUCGUUUUAAAGAAAGCAGAAAGGGAGAGAGAACCCGAAUCCAUUUUCCGAAAAAAAUUACAAAAGGAUAUCAAUCUACUUCGCGAAGCGACUUUCCUUCCGCUUGUCGCGCGUGCCCUCCGCGCGAGCACCUCGUGUCUUCAACCGGUGACCAAUAUCAGACACGAUAUGUAUAUCAGAGGACAUGUGUACAUAUAUAUAUCGUCUUGCCUUUGAAAAAAGAGUGAUCUCACGCGUACGUCGUGACGCGAUCUCGUCAAUCUUGUUAAUCGUAAGUAGAGCAACUAGCGAGGAAAGAAAGAGAGGAAACGAGAGUAAUUAGCCGAACCGGGGUACUCUAAAUAGAUCGUAGUGAAUUUUUUACACGCCCGUGUCGGUAACGCGAACGACUCGGUAACGAACCCUACUCUUUGUCACUUUCUUCCCCUCGCGUAUGAAGGGGGAGAGGGUGUACGGACACACGAGAGAGAGCUAAGAAUAUUCUCGCUAAAUGUGAUAGUAGAGUGAGUCUAUCUUCCGGCAGACGUUGUAGAAGCAAUAAAAAGCGAGCCGAAGGCAGCGAGCCGAGGAUUAAAGCGUAACUAAAGCGACUGCUUUACCCGUACGCUCGUCCCUCAUUAAGCCGGUCUCGCUUCUUCAUCUCCGAAGGAGAAAAAAAAGAAAUGAAAAAAAAAGAGAGAGGAGAACCCUUUAUUCCCCGAAAAAGGUGCGUUCGAUGAAUCGAGGAGGCGGCUGUUACAUCCCUCUCACGAUCGGCCCCCUCCCGCCCACCUCGUAUGAUUUUUCGGUGGUGCACCCGGAGAAAUAAACGAAAGUAUAUGCACCACCCCCUGUUCCCCUUUCGGAACCCCGCGCUCAACGGUCCUUUCCAACCGCUUUCUCCGUGCGAUCACCCCUCCUCCCCACCCCUGGCCCUCCGAAACCCCAUUCCCCUCGAUCGUAACGAUUCGACAUAACCCGAGUGCCUUAAUCCGAUCUCUAUGCCCAAUCUUACUCUCCACGUGUGACGAAAGAAAAGAAAUGGAAGGCAAAGCCCUGGGACGCCCGCGAUUUAGACGCAUAUUAAUUUCUAUAGGCAGUAGAAUUGAGUGUCGAUUGCUAGAGAGAACGCGAGAAACACAAGGCUGGCGAACCGAGGCGACUGUUCCGAGGGACGGUGCACACGGCGGAACCAGGUAAGACUAUUUUUUCUUUUUUUUUCUUCCCCUCUCCUUAUUUAUCUUUUGUUUCUUCUCACUUUGAUAUUGCCCUUGAGUAGAUCUUAGACGUGUCGAGCUGGUGUUUUUCAAUCGGAAUGUUUUUCCCUUGAUCUCGCGGAAUCGAAGUCAUUUUCGAGUAGUCUCGAGUCCGCGCGUUCUUAAAAAGGAUUCUUCAUUUGUAAAGAUUUAAAACGCUCCGAGGGGGAAAAAAAAAUAAACUUUUACCAUAACACGACAGUUCGCGAAUUCAGUUUAAGCUAGCUUGACGCUUCGAAACGUAAUUACGAUCCAUCUACUUUGGCGAAGGGUUUUCGAAUAGUUCGAAUGGCUUGAAAAACACCGUGCUCGAGCAUUACGGAACUAAUGUGUUUGGAGUACUGAAAGCAUCGCAUCCGUCAUAACGCGACAGGCGUCGCCAGGAGCGUUUUACGCUCCGAGUUUCAUGUAGACGGAGAACCUUUGGCGUUACCAAUUUGCUGAAAGCACACUUUUACGUCGGCAUAAUUAUCCAACACGAUCGCGCACGAAACAUGAUACAUAUGUCUCGAAACACAUAUCCAAUACCUUUUACAAAAAUAUAUCUACCUAUAUAUCUACCUUUUGUGAAAGUAAAAUAGAGAAUUGCAGUUUUAUCAGAGCGGUAGUGAUCUUAGUACUUAGCGCUUUAAUGUGUGACGAAUAGUGCAGUUUGAAAGUAAUAGCGUCUUCGAAAGUUGUAGGGACGGAUGCGAUGCACGCGGGCCUCUUACAUAGCGAGCAUUGGUGUUAUCGAAUAACAAUAUCGUUUCCAGUGUACCUUACUCCUCGCUGUUAACACGAAGAGAAGACGUAUCACGUAUUGUAUAGUAAAUGUCGCUCGUAGUACUAGCGAUAGAGAAUCGUCGAUGGUGUAGGCGUAGUUAUGUGCAUAAUUGCGACUUUUGGAGUAAUCUGAGCAGAGUCGGUCUCGAAAGUCGUCGGACCCGGAAUAGCGGGAAAGCCGGGCUAGUGAUUCGAGGGAAAAGUGGAUCGCGAAUUUUCAUGUGUAAGAAAAAAAAAAAGUUGCUUGCCAAAGAGUCCCAUUGUGAUAGGCACGCGGAGAUCUCAAAGCGAAAUGUAGAAGCGUGUCACAAUUUACAAAAUACGAUACGGUUCUGACUUCCUCGAUUCCGAUUCUGGGCAUUACAUUAUUGACUGAAACUCAGCGUGGAGACGAUCGCGUUUCGAUCGUGGCUUCGAAAAGGGAGAUGUAUCAGGGAACGUUUGAAAAAAUGCAAUUCACAAUCUCAAAAUCUCGCGCUAUUGCAUCUUCAGUAGUUGCCUUUACGUGAUUCAGUAGAGAAAAGAAAAAACGGCAUUAAAUGUCAAUCAAAAUUUACGACUCUCUUUUUUUUUGCACUAUUUAUCGCACUUUAAUGUAGGACUCGCCGGGGUGCCCGACGAAAUUUUGUGAUUCAUACGACAGUCGAUGGAAACGUAUCGUUCCCACGGCAAUAGUCUACUAUUAUAAAAUACCAGUGUCGGGGCUAACUCGUUGACGGGAAAACGCCUGUAUCGAGGCUACACAACGAGAAUGCACCCGUGCAUGUGUAACGAUUUGUACAUACUAACAUAUUUCUGUGCGGCUGUCUCGCGCUCGCGACAGAUUCUCAGUGGUCAGUGCCAUACUCGCUACGUCAAAGUUUAAUCGGAGAAAUGUUUCUUGGAGGGAAAAAAAAUUUCUUUUUAACUUCUGAAUCUAGAUUUACAUUCGCUGUUCUUUUAUAUUUUCCAUGACGAGAUUACAAUACAUUUGAUUACUUCCUCGUCACACGAUUAUCUUUAAUUAAGGAAUAAUUGAAUUAUUUAAAUUGAAUAAAGUUUUGAAUAUCUCCAAUUGAGGGAGUCUGAAUAUAUCCGAUUCACGAUUGAUGCAUCCCGUCGUGAUGCGAGACAGCCGCGUCGUAAGAGGCAAUGAGGCCUUACGUAAUCGCAUGUGUGAUUUAAAUAAAUAUAUAUCAUUGAAUAUCUGUAAUGGUUCGUCGUUAUUGCUGUCAUCCAACACCACCAAUGUUAUCAAUCAUCUUCAUCAUUAUUCUUAUCAUCGUCAUCAUCAUCAUCAUCACCAUUACUGUCACAUUUACUAGCAAGUGAGAUUGUUGAAGAAAUCAAGUUUUAAAGUCUCGCGUGGAAAACGUGGUGCACUCACACAUCGAUUUUUACACGGGUGAUAUAUGAAUAUAUCAAGCGUAAUUCUAUUUGGAAACAUUCACUCUUCCAAGGUGAUAAUUUUAUUUGAACAUAUAUCGAAUAAUGCGACGUUAUAUCCUCGUUACACAGCUACACUCGAUCGCGUAAUGUUCGUCUACUUUUCACUCGAUAUGAUUGAAAAAUUUUUCGAAAAUUAAAAACGCUCGUACUCGACAAUAUUAUUAAUAACGUAUUAAUUUCGCUAUAAUUAACGGUAUUGGGUGAGGCAUACGGUACAAGUGCGCGAAAAAUGAUGAAAUGCGAAGUCUUUAAAUCCCGCUGUUGACGAAAGUCACCCUGUAAGAACGAUGCGCGAAUCAAGAAUUCUUUUACAUUUUACUCUGACAAGAUGUACGUAAAAAAAAAAAGAGAAAGAAACUUCGGCUAGGAGGCCGCGAGACCGACGAAGACGUAUUGUCGCAGACACGACAAUAAAGCAAGAACAAAAAAAAAACAAAAAGAGAAAGAGCAUCGGAAACGAUCGUGCAUCGUGUAAACGCGACAGCGUGCACCAUGACUGCUCUUUUACUUUUCGAGUGACUUUUUCGAAAUGGGACCCACGCGUUUUUCAUAGCGCUUUUUUAAAGCCGUACACGCGCGUCGUGGCGGCGUCUUGUUCUUCCAAUACGUAUAUAUUAUAUACACACACAUAUACAGAUACACACAACAUUAACACAUUACGUACACGUAAUUAUAUUUAUAAAAACAAAAAUAUAUAUAUAAAAUAUAUAGAUAUAUAUUAUAAAAAAAUCAAUCUAUAUACAUAUAUAUACUGAACAUAUAUCUACUUUUAUGCGUAUAUAACGGUUGUACGAUAUUAAUAAAGGCGAAAAAAGCAGUGUGUGCGCUAGAACGUAGAUAUAGAUUUCGCGAAGGGACGUUCAGUUUCUCGAUUUUUCAUACAAGAAAGUGUCACGGAAUCAGUUUGUUACGCGACGCUUUGCCAACGAGCUGACAUUGUGCCUCUUUAUUCUUUUCGUGCAAUUGUCUCGCUGACAACAGGCACUCUAUUAAUAAACUAACAAAAGGAACUUGAGAAUUCAGAAGCGUGCAAUAUUGUUUGUUUGGCGUUUCCUCUUGAUCGAUGUCUUCUUUGAGCAAUAUGCUGUGUGUAUUUGAAUAUUCUUUUCACAAGAUGAUUAUUUCAAGAUUACAUUUUCCGAAAACGUGGAUCUUUUUUUUAAGCGAUCAAUCGAUAUGUUCAAAUCAGCGAUUUACUGAGAUUUAUUCGUUAUAAAUUAAAAUAAUUGCCGAUUAAAAUAGCAUAAGAACGAUGCCUCUGACAAUUAAUGCAUUGGCGGCCGCAAGUAUCCAUGAAUAUUUAUAUAUUGAGUGUCAUUGAAUAUUUUGCGUUUCGCAUAUCGAUGGCUAUUGCAAGAUAGCGAUAGAUGUUGCAUCGCAAAAUAGAUUUUAAUUAACGGUAUAAAACAGUGGUCACGCAUGUCACUUAAUUGACGAAGCGUCGUGCGCAAUGAGAGUUUUAAUAAUGCUCACAACACACAUAGUAAUUUUCAUUACAACUACGGACUUUUCUGAAUUACUCUUUCGUCUACUCAAUCCGAAUUAAAAAGGACAACGCGGUACAUUUUACAAGAGUAUCCAAUUAGUUUUCUCAAUACUCGUUAAAUAUUCGCUCGAAAUUGUAACUUUAACACCGGGGUUGAUUCGUAGUUAUGAAAAGUGAGAACAAGCGGUGGAAAAAAUAAUUUUCUCGCGUGUAACUUGUGAAUAAUUAAUUUUCUCGUUGCAUUUUUUUUGUGAGAUCAUUUCCAUAAAGUCAACAGAAGUGAAAUUAAGUUUUUUGCAAUAUUACACGGUGCAUGGUAUAACAAAUAACGUUGUGAUUUUAAUGAUAAAUUUUUGUCACGACAUUCUUUAUUAACGAAUAUGACGCGUCGAUAAUCAACAAUUGAUGUUGACACGCAUAAAUAAUUUAACAAAUAUUUAUCGAGACUUACGUCAAUGCGUGAGUGAUAUAUCAAUGCAAUUCGCAAUCAUGAUGACAUUAAUAAAUUGUGAUUAUAUUUUUAUUACAUAUUAAUUUUCACGUAGAAAUUAAUAUAUCGAUCACCUCGAUGUUUCUGCUUCUAUAAAUAGAUCUUUUUCUAUCGCGAUUUUUUACGUAACUUCUUCACCUUGUAAAUCACAGAUCCCAUAUUGUGAGUUAUUACGCAUGAAAUAUCUUAUAUUUUAUAACAAUGUUGACGUUUAUCGAACGACGUAUUAGUGCGACUUGUCGCGCGACAAUAUUCGGAAAUCAAAAAUAAAAAUGGGGUCUUCCAAUAGAAAGGAAAGAAUACUCGUGUAUCCUCCGCAUAAGAAGAACGACUUUACGUUGAUUCUAUCGCACCGCCUUAUAACUUCCACAUGUUGAAAUUUUCGUACGCGAUGAGCAUGAUAUAGAGGAGCAUUAUUCUUUUUUAUAUAAUUCACACUGUAAAUACUCUUUUCUCUACGAGACGAUGUAAAUACUUUCCUCUUGAGAUAUCAAACAAUAUUUAUUGGAGAUGAGAGUGAAUCGGUGAGAAAGAGAGAGAAAGAGAGCAAAUGUGAAUUCGUUAAUUUCAUAAGGCAUUACGAAACGUGAUAAGCGGUAGUCGGCACCGAAUCUUGUGAUCGGCUUUCGACCUGCCGCUGUUCGCCACGUCACUUUUCUUUUCUUCUGUUCAGUUCGUCCAAGUAUCGAACGACUUAUUACGACACACUUUAGAAAUUGAUGUCCUUAAGAGACCGACAGUCAGCAAUAUAUACACGUAUUACAAAAGUGGAAUGAAAACAUUGAGUCGGGUCGAUCGACCUUCGCAUAUACGUGUCGUACCGUGACAGCGCGAUGACAGAUGAUGCGACCGGAGUGAGGAUCCGUUCUUCGGAAAAUCUUCGUUAUUCGUCGCGAGAGAACGUGACGUGAAUGUUAUAUUAUAUUUCCACGGGGACCACCCUUCUUUCGGCGGUUCUCUUUCUUUCUUCGAGGCAAGGAGGGCGAGAACAAGAAUAUGGAAUGUGUGUUAUGUCCGACGAGAGACUUUUCGAAGACCGGAUUUGCCUCGGCCCUUAGCGUAUACGUAGUUUAGUAGCAAUAUAUCUUACGUGAUAAAAUUGAAAAAGCUCGACUUCAUCACUAAGUAUCAUUAGCUCUAUGCGAGACAUGUAAUCUGUUAUUGAUCAAGCACAGCAUAUUCUUCCAUAUAUUAUACGCCACCUGAUUAUUAUUAUUAUUAUUAUUGUUCGACGAUCGUCGUCGCACGUUCGAUAGCGCUUCAAUGUCGAUUCGACGGAAAGAUCAUCUCGUUGAAACGAAAAAAAACGAAAGCGUUGAAUAGCCACGUUAUCGAACGAUCGAGACGAUCGCAGACACGACGUAGUUAGUUACUUAUUUAUUAAUUCGUUUGUGGACGACAUGAAUCUUAUUCCGUAGUGUAAGUCAAAGUGCAGGGAGACAAAGUUGAGAUUGAUAUUUCUGUAUUACCCGUAUUUCUUUCGAUAAAGCUUCGAUUUAGCGCCCAUUCUGUUCCACUGACAAUGAUUUCAUUGUUUUCCUCUCGCAAAUUUCGCCGGGUGUUCGUAAAAAUGCGAUCGAUGCAAACGUAACGGAGCACGGAUUGAUCCACAUGGUACUAACUGCAUUCAUCUUAUUUCGAAUCUUUUCAAUCAUUCGAGACGUCGAGGCGUUUCUCGAAUAACGCAUCUCCACCGAGCUGAUAGACGCCGACAAAACAACUGAUAAUAAGAAAAAUAAUAAGAUCAUUGCCAGUAGAAAAAAAAACCCAAAUUCCGCACACGUACGCACACACACAAACACACACAUCUACAUACACACGUACACAACUAGAAUAGUAUUAGCUAGCUAGACAGCCGACUAGUAAAAAUCUAGUAGUAAUCACGUAAAUAAUUUGGUUAUCCGUAUAUAUAGAUGGGUAAGCGCAAAAGACGGUAAUGAGACUUAGAUUUAAGCGACAGUAGGAUAAUAAUAGGAGGCAAACACCGUGCAAGAGAGAAAGAGAAAGACAGAAUUGUGAGAAAGAGAAUAAUUAUCAACGUAUUUGCUGCAGGUAAACACUGGUUACUGUACCUGUUGUUGUUGAAAUCAUUAAAAAUACUCUUAUUCCAUGCUAAUCGCUUACUAAAACUUUGUUUCUCCCCCCUCUCACCGUUAUCCACAUCAGUGAUUGUCCUAUAAUUGAUCAAACGUAAUUGAUCGAAACCGGAUCGCGAAAUACACGCGAGUGCGCACCAACUGAAAUAAUUUUCCAGAUAAUCUCUCUUUGAGAGGAAAAAUUUUCAUUCAGUGUAAAUUGUUAGUCAUUUUUUGAAGCUUUUCUCAGUAAAAUGAAGAAUAAAAUGCUAACGAUUGGUAGUUAAGUGAUGCAAAUGAACUCUGCGAUAAAUCAAUCAAGUUAAAGUUUAAUAUGCUGUAACUGAAAUCAUCAAUAGCACUAGAAACCAAAUUCUUUGUCUCUUCGUUUACAAUGUUUUACAAUUGAUUUAAAAUUAAUAAGCUUAAAGCUCUUUUGAUUCAAGAGUAGAAAUACUAUAUUAGUGUUAAUUAAACGUCAACGUUUCAAACGACGAAUUUAAGAUCGAACGAGAAAUACAAUGGCCGUUUAGGAUUUAUUUUUCGAGGAUUGUACUGAUGAAAGAAAAUUUUUGGAACGUCCGCGCCUUUUGCCGUAAAGCAGCUGCUAUGACACGUUCCGCCUUCGCCAAUACAAAUCUCAAGACGUGCCUCAGCGUACAUAACAAUUCAGCGUUUAUUCCGUGAAUCCGGGGUAUUGUAGUACUCUUCGUAGAUAAGUAGACAGUGACUAUAUGUAUGCGUGAGUCCUUUUUAGAUUUUUCAGAUAUAUCUCACUACACAUAGCACCUGGAUAUAAGUAAUUUCUACAGUGUCCCACACCGUAUCUUUGAAAACCGUGCCUAUUGAACACGUUUAUCUCUAUGUAGAUGUUCGUUUGUUCAUACGUUACGUCUAUAUAUAUGUAUAUAUAUACAUACAUAUAUCCGUGUAAAGACGUCUAUUCCCGGCGGAUUCCACGGCGAAAAUCCUUUGAGACGGAAGCAUUCCGGAGACAAAGACCCAACCUAUCGACUCUUAUUCCGGAAAAUGCGUCGGGUUUUAACGAGUCUUGAGAGUUUUCAAAUGCGACUUCGCAUGACUCGCGUCGCGAUACGCGGGUCAAUCCACACGUUCGCCGCCACGUGUGUCGCGCGCGUCUAUUAUGUACAUAGAUAUAAAUACCAGUAUCUCUUGCUGUAGUAGUUAACUUGCCCCCCGUACGUAUCGGUACAUCGUCACGUAUUACACUUUCUCCUCCCCCCUUCCGCCGUAGAGCCUCCCUGCGUCCUUCGUUUCACGCGUAAGGAGAUCCGAUAAAUCGGAGGAAUAGCAUGGUAUCUAAUCUAUUCUUGAUCUCCGACGAGAGUGAUACAAGUAGGCUUAAUGCGUAGAUCUGACAUGGCUACUAAUUACGAAGAGUAGAGGUACAUUAACGUAUCGCGCGGGUGCGCCCGACAAGCAGCGAGGAACGUCAGAGAGCGUACGUCGCGAGAAGGGAGGAUUAAGUCACAAAAAAAAGACACCUACCCACCUACCCCCUCCCAAGGACAGCGCGCUCCACAGUGUUUCGCGCGACAGAAGAGGAGAGAGCGGCCAAGUGCAAGAGUAUCUCUAAAGAGCGUCUGUAUAAACCAUCCUCGGGGAAGGUGUCACGGUAGCAACGAAUCGACAAUUGUUCCCCACUUGUGGGAUCACUUGAUAUCAUUACACCAUAUUAACUUUAUUAUUAAUGAUAUUACCGCUAUUAUGUACAUAUAUACAUAUACAUAUAUUUUAAUCAACAUAUAUGCAAACGUCGUGUAAAUCCCUCUGUGUGCAUUUCCAAGAUCCUCCAUAUGCAUUUGAAUCACCAAAAUACCAAUUAUACUUUUCAUUUUCCAGAUACGUCAAAUUGUUUCAAUUUGAGAAUUAUUUUCUAGUCGACGAAGACUUUGCGAAAGUUUAAUGAAAAAGCGAACCGAAUGGAAAAUUCGGAAUGUGCAGAGCUGUAGGUGCGUCCAACCGAAGCACCUUGAUCACUAAUUCUCCCCUUUCAUUGUUCCCUAUCCCGGUUUUAUUAAUCGAAAACGAGAAUGAGAUUGAAUUAAAAAUGAGUGAUGAAAGCCACACCCGCCAAAAACCUUUCCUCUUUUGAUUUUUGACGUCUGACUUUCGGCUUCUUCAAUAUUUCAUCGUCGACGAAAGCGGCUCUCUUCGAGCGACUCCAGCCGAAUAAAUUCACGCAGGAAGGACGACAGGCUUCUCGGAAGGCAUAUAUUCCAUUAGGUUUGUACAAUUCGAGCUGUCCGCUGUUGAUAUGCUGCAGAACGAACAGACGUGGAGGAGGUAAUACGCGAGGGAGAUGCGAGGGGAAGAGGGGAGAUCGAUAUUGCGAUCCCCCAGGGGCACGCGUUACGUACGCCCGCGUCAACUGAAGUGCAUCCCCUACCUCUCAUUCUAUACCGAAAGCUGUUCCGGAAAUUCCGUAACCUUUUUGUGCGCUGCUCCCUCCUAUCCGUUUCCUUAAAAAGAAAAUCGAAAAGUUCCACGUUCAAUUGUUCGUGUUACCCCCGCCUCGCCGAUUUUUCACAAAGAAGCGAUUACGUAUAAAUUGAAAAAUAUCGGCGGCGGCGUACAGGAAAGAUGGAAUAAAUUUCUACCCAUGAUUUUGUUGCACGUGAGUGUUAUUAUAUCUGUAUCUGCCCUCUAUAUAUUCAUCCCUUCAAUUUUAAAAUGGCUCCAUAGUUUGCCUAUAUAGGUACUGCUGAGAGCAAGGAUGCCUUAAAUGUCGUGCUAAAGAAAAUGUCAUCUUCUCUACAGCAUCGUUCAGAUCCCUCUAAGCUUCCGCGUAAUAUAUUUUCUUUAGACAGACUGACAUUGUCGCUUGACAAGUGGCUCAUUAAAAUAAUGAGACACAUUCCGAGUAGUCUUGGCAAUAAUUACAAUGUUACACUACAAAUGUUACAUUUUUAUUUUACGUAUUAUACUUUAUUUAAAAUUAUUCCCACAACGACAAUUAUCGAUAAA
rnacentral:lncRNA from 13 species